GCCAGUAGCCAGAGAGAGGGGGCCACACCCGUUCCCAUUCCGAAUACGGAAGUUAAGCCCCUCAUCGCUGAUGGUACUGUACCCUUCGGGUAUGGGAGAGUAAGUCGCUGCUGGCU
rnacentral:rRNA from 1 species